rnacentral:rRNA from 1 species
GAUUGUGACUAAUAAUUGCAAUUCAUGACGGUAUCAACAGAAGAAGCACCGGCUAACUACGUGCCAGCAGCCGCGGUAAUACGUAGGGUGCGAGCGUUAAUCGGAAUUACUGGGGCGUAAAAGGGUGCGCAGGCGGUUCUGUAAGUCAGAUGUGAAAUCCCCGGGCUUAACCUGGGAACUGCGUUUGAAACUACAGAGCUAGAGUGUGGCAGAGGGGGGUGGAAUUCCAUGUGUAGCAGUGAAAUGCGUAGAGAUAUGGAAGAACAUCGAUGGCGAAGGCAGCCCCCUGGGUCAACACUGACGCUCAUGCACGAAAGCGUGGGGAGCAAACAGGAUUAGAUACCCUGGUAGUCCACGCCCUAAACUAUGUCAACUAGUUGUCGGGCCUUAUUAGGUUUGGUAACGUAGCUAACGCGUGAAGUUGACCGCCUGGGGAGUACGGUCGCAAGAUUAAAACUCAAAGGAAUUGACGGG